rnacentral:sRNA from 1 species
UCUUCGCCGCCAACUCCGCUUCCAGUUC